rnacentral:rRNA from 1 species
AUAAGUAAUGUGAAUUGCAGAAUUCAGUGAAUCAUCGAAUCUUUGAACGCACCUUGCGCCCUUUGGCUAUUCCGAAGGGCAUGCCUGUUUGAGUAUCAUGAACACCUCAACUCUCAUGGCUUGCCAUGAUGAGCUUGGACCAUGGGGGUCUUGCUGG